UUCGGAUACAUAUAAGUGACUAGGGUGACAACCUUCCUUUAAUCCUUGCUUGUGAUAAACAUCCUGCAGAUUAAGAUAAAUUCAACAUAUGGGAGUCAACUUCAGAUGUAUAAUACAUUGUAAAAUACACAACGUGUGUUUAGUACUUCACUACAUGAUGACAGAAGGAAGACUUAUGAAGGAUGGUGCGCUGCCAUUGCACACAGUCAGCCUGGCUUCCAGAAAUGCUCAGUAUCUGCAGGUCCCAACAAAGGCUGGAAGCUGCAAAUGUUAGCAGCUCUGACCAUCAGACUAUAAAACAGCCAAAUUGCUUAAUGACAAAUUGAAAAUGUGAGGAUGUGUUGAAACAGUAAAACAACAAAAAUCACUUUGAAGUCUAAAAUGAUUAUUAACCUCCCCUGCAAGCAAGCAAGCAGUUGUUUACAUGAACAGGCAGUUUGGCCUGAUUCAGACCCCAGUUCUAUCACUAGGAGAUUUUCUCUUCAAAAGCACCAGCCCUCUAGCACAUAGAGCUAACACCAACAGCUUUGUUAUAAAACCAUGUAAGGAGAAUAAAGUACAGUUGCUUUAAUUGAUAUUAAUGAUAGCAUCCCCAAAAUGCAGUAUGUAUUAGUGCCUUUUUGGCAGUCAGCUCUUUUUAAUCUUUGCUGUCAUUAGGAAACAAUACCGUAUAUAGCAAAUCUAGGGAAAAAGUCAGAUGUUCUCAGUCCCAAAAGGCAGUGAGACAAGUUCAUCUAAAUAUCAAAUACCGAAGACAAGCCCAUGGCCCAGACUUGCAAACCCUGGAGGGUCAGAGGUAUAUGCAUUAGUUUGCAUGAUGAAGCAAGAACCUCUUCUCAAGGAGGAUAAUCAGAACAGAUUUAAAAGAACCUGCUCCAAAAAUUGCAAAGGUACUUUAAGACAAAGGUAAUAUAACUGCUAAGAAUUUAAAAACACAAAAGGGACUGUGAAAUAGUAUGUUUACCUUCACUACUUCCACUUACCACACUGUGCACAAAUGGGUAAUUUUUGAACAGAGUUACAGAAGUAGCAAAAAGCUCUAUUCUUCUGUCGUCUAGGCACGUGGAAAAAAAAAAACAGAGCAUUACACUAGAUUUGCAAAAUGUUUGAAACCAAUUAAUGUUAAACUGAUGGUUUUAGAAGGGGAAAAAUACUUACCUUUGGCACUUAUCACAUUCCUAAAAA